UUUUCUUUAAAUUUUUUGAAUAUUCAAAUAUCAAAUCUUAAAUUUUCGAGAACAUUUCCCAAUUAGAAAGAAAGAAAGAAAGCGAUUGCACUAAUUAUUUAUUUCAAGAAUGUCCAGGAAAUAAGCCGCCAAAAGACCUACAUUUCUAGAAUUUUCCUGGUACAUCUUGCAAAUCGGUCGAAAUCCUACUUUUGAAAAAGAUGUAGUCAACUGUAAAGUAUUGGUAUAACAAAACUUCAUAACGGACGCAAUUACAUUCAGCUUUUCAUUGGAAUCCAUGAGAAGAUAACAAUUUGAGGCGGUGCAAUGCUGAUAAAAAUGUCGCCAGCUGCAGAGUACAAGAAAUGUAAACAAUAUGUUUGGUGGCAAAUCGUAAAUUCUGAAAAUCGUAACGCAAAAAAAGAAAACAUAUUCAUAUUUUUGAGAUAUCAUGGGUUCUAAAUAGUUAAGACAACAUAUGAAAAUGUUUAAUAUCGAUACGUUAACGGCAUUCCGAUUUAUGGCAUUCAGUUCAGUACAGAAAUAUUAUAACUCAAAAUGCUGAUGAGGAUGCUUUUUAUGGGAGAUUACCGAAACCUAAUCUUAUGUACAUUACCCGUAUUCAAUACUUAAUUUCGAUAUUAAUAAAUUUAUUACCCAAACAAAACAGCAUAAUAAAUUUGGUGGCCCAAUCUAAUGCCAAAAUAGUUUAACCUCCCUCAUGGGUACUUAUCCGCAUA